rnacentral:ncRNA from 1 species
UGAUCUGAAAUCAGGCGGGAUUACCCGCUGAACUUAAGCAUAUCAAUAAGCGGAGGAAAAGAAAAUAACAAUGAUUCCCUAGUAACGGCGAGUGAACAGGGAAAAGCUCAAAGUUGGAACCUCCUGGCCCUAGGUCUGGCGGAUUGUAAACUAAAGCUCUCGAGUAGUUCGGCUAGCCUGGUAAAAAAGUUCUCUGGAAAG